UACGAAGGGGGCUAGCGUUGUUCGGAAUUACUGGGCGUAAAGCGCACGUAGGCGGAUACUUAAGUUAGGGGUGAAAUCCCGGGGCUCAACCCCGGAAUAGCCUUUGAAACUGGAAAACUAGAAUCUUGGAGAGGUCAGUGGAAUUCCGAGUGUAGAGGUGAAAUUCGUAGAUAUUCGGAAGAACACCAGUGGCGAAGGCGACUGACUGGACAAGUAUUGACGCUGAGGUGCGAAAGCGUGGGGAGCAAACAGG
rnacentral:rRNA from 1 species